GGAAAGCGAAAGCGCCGAAGGAGCAACCCGCCAACACGGGGAAUCUCUCAGGUAAACGAACAGGGUCGG
rnacentral:ncRNA from 1 species